UACAGGGGGUGCAAACGUUGCUCGGAUUUAUUGGGCGUAAAGGGCGCGUAGGCGGCCACGCACGUCCGUUGUGAAAUCGCCCGGCUCAACUGGGCGGGGUCAGCGGAUACGGUGUGGCUCGAGCAAGCUAGGGGGCAAUGGAAUUCCCGGUGUAGUGGUGGAAUGCGUAGAUAUCGGGAGGAACACCAGUGGCGAAGGCGGUUGCCUGGAGCUUUGCUGACGCUGAGGCGCGAAAGCGUGGGGAGCGAUCCGG
rnacentral:rRNA from 1 species